rnacentral:hammerhead_ribozyme from 1 species
UCACUGCUGAAGAGUCCUACAAUAGGACGAAAUGGCCAUCCAGCAA